rnacentral:rRNA from 1 species
GACGAACGCUGGCGGCGUGCCUAACACAUGCAAGUCGAACGGAACUGUUUUGAAAGAUUUCUUCGGAAUGAAUUUGAUUUAGUUUAGUGGCGGACGGGUGAGUAACGCGUGAGUAACCUGCCUUCAAGAGGGGAAUAACAUUCUGAAAAGAAUGCUAAUACCGCAUGACAUAUCGGAACCACAUGGUUUUGAUAUCAAAGAUUUUAUCGCUUGAAGAUGGACUCGCGUCCGAUUAGUUAGUUGGUGAGGUAACGGCUCACCAAGACCGCGAUCGGUAGCCGGACUGAGAGGUUGAACGGCCACAUUGGGACUGAGACACGGCCCAGACUCCUACGGGAGGCAGCAGUGGGGGAUAUUGCGCAAUGGGGGCAACCCUGACGCGGCAACGCCGCGUGAAGGAUGAAGGUUUUCGGAUUGUAAACUUCUUUUAUUAAGGACGAAAAAUGACGGUACUUAAUGAAUAAGCUCCGGCUAACUACGUG